CACGAAUGGGUUAAAAUGGCUCUUCCUCUCCCCGUCCCCUCCCGAUUGCGUGCGAACCGUUGGCUUGGGCCAUUGGCUGAUGGAAGGGCCUGACUCACGCGGUGUAAAUUCUGCUCUCUCAUUGGAUAAUGGACACGUCUUGACCUUGACAACAUCCUCAGGCAAGGAGUUCCACUGGUUGACGGAGGUGCUGUCAUGCAGAAUUUGCUGUCUGAAAUCCUUACCCAGCGGGUCUGGGUGAUCCAGAUGUGCUCCGCAUAGAGCUCUCCACACGGGUGCUAGCUACUUCAGAAGGCUGAGGGGGGAUCAGACUUUUCCGGACUGCCAGUCUGGAAGACACAGAUAAGCUUGGAACUGCUGCCGCUCAGGUACAUUGCCCUUAGAAACCUGAACGCCAAUGAAGGCAGAAGAAAGACUGUAUCUCUUGCUGCCACAAGUGGAAUAGGUUUUGUCUUCCUGUGCUAGUUGCAUUGCACUCCUAAGGUGGUGAUGGAUUAAUAAACUUGUGAGCAGAUAAACAGGAUUCGCUUCUAGUAUUUCUUCAAACAAGGCUUCAUAUUUUAUUUCCCCGAAAGGGUAAGUCCAAGCUAUCAGUCUGCUCUCACCCAAUUUGAGGACUUCUCCACAGAGCGCCAAGGAUCCUUACCAAUUUUACUUUCAGCUUGCCCACCAUGACUGUGUUGAGACCACCAGCCUCCAACUAUGUAGAAUGGGCUAUCUAUCAGCACUAGGUGGUGCCAGCCAUUCUUCCAUUACUGUCCCAAGGCUCAGCAAACCAUCCUGACCUGAGAGGGCUCUCAGCUAUGAGCUUACGAAGCAUAAUUCUGCAGGCUGAAUGUGCAUUUAUCACAGGGCAGCAUAAUGCUAUAUUGGUCAACUAAGGAGUCUGGCAAACACAAGAGUCUAUCACUAUAAAAUACUUGAAUAUUCCCAUAGGCUUAAUUCUGAGACUAUCCAAUCCCCACACAAAAAAAACCCACAGACCAUUCUAGGAAACAACAGAUCUUUAAAUGUGACCUACAUAGAAAGAGAAAAUUGGGCUACUGGCCCCUUUUUUGUUUGAUUUAUAUUUUAAAAAAGCGUGACAUUUCUCUGUUUUAUAAAAACAUUAAGAAUGGCCAUAUUGGGUCAGACCAAUGGUCCACCUAGCCCUGUAUCCUGUCUUCCAACCGUGGCCAAGGCCAGAGGGAAUGAACAGAACAGGUAAUCAUCAAGUCGCCCAUUCCCAGCUUCUGGCAAAAGUUGAAGGCUAGGGACACUUCAAGAGCAUGGUUUUUCAUCCCUGCCCAUCCUGGCUGAUAACCAUUGAUGGACUUAUGCUAAGAGUUACAAACUGACGAGUGAAUCACACACCUCAUUUGGAACCAGAAGUAUGCAACCUCCCACCCCC